rnacentral:lncRNA from 1 species
AUGCCUGCAAGUGCCCGCCAGGCAGCCUGGGAAGCCCCGCGAGGACCCUCCUGGCGAUGCCCCGGGACCGCAGGUCCGCACGGGUCCCCCGGGCCAGGAAGGCGGCGGGACAGUCCCACGAGGCUCCCCGCUCGAAGGCCGGAGCCUGGCCCGCGGAGGUGCGCGCGCCCGGGGCCAGUCCCGCGAGACCCCGCCGGGGCAGGACGGCGGCGGCAUCGCCGGGGCGACAGCUCCGGGCGCGCAGGCGCAGUGCAGGCGCGUCCCGCCGCGGCGGCCGCCGCCGCCGCUGCCGCCGCCGCCGCCGCCGCCGCUCCUUCCCCUUUAAGCCCCGGCCGGCCGCGUCGCCGCUUCAUGAAUGGAGCCCACGUGACCAAACAUCAUGUGACGUCUGUGGAGCGGCGGCGGCGGCGGCGGCGGCGGAUCCCGAGCCUGAUCCGGCCCGGCCUUCCCAGCGCGCUCGGCCCGGCCCGCGCAGGCGGCGAGCCCCCACCCCGGGCCCGGAGCCCCCGCGCGGCCUCGGAGCGCCCCCCGCCCCGCCCGCCCCGGCCUCGGCCCGCCCGGGCCCGCAGUGUGGUGGGUGAGUGCGGCGGCGGGCCGGGCGGGGGGCUCCGGGCCCGGGGUGGGGGCGGGCGGGGCCGAGGCUCCUCCUGGAGGGCCGGGGGCGGCGCGGGCCGCGCGCUCCCGGCUUCGGGUUUGCCCCGCGCCCUGCUGGCGGCCCGUGCCUCGAUUUCCCCGCGGCUCGGAAGCUGCUCCCGGCCCUCGCGCCGGGGCUGCUGGGGGUGGGCCGCGGGGGCCGGAGGAGGGCGGGGCGGGGCGUACGCGGGGCUUGCUCGGCGGAGCCCGGGGCGUCCCGGUGGGAGGGGCGGCCGCGGUGGCGGGAGGAAAGGGUGGGGUCGAGCGGGGCGCCUAGGGCUCCGCGGAAGAGCCUCUGGGCCCCGGUUCUCGCUGCUGAUUCAUCAGGUGUCUGUGUCCGCCCGCCCGGGCGCGGGGGUCCUCGGCGGGCCGGGGCGGGUGGGGGGUAGGGGGCGGCACGUGGCGGGGCCGGGAAGACCCUGCCCGCGGCGGCUUCGCUCCGUCACACGCGUGCCAGAGCCCAGAGGGAGACUUGCUGAGUCAUCAGCAUGA